CCUGCUCUUAAGUUGAAGCCUGCAGACUGAAGGCAGUGCCAGACAUGGCGUGUCCUUUUAUUGAAGAGCCAGUUGAUGUCGAGGCGCAGAUACUCCGCAGAAAUCUCCGUCGGGAGAGGAUUAUUAGACCCCGAUUGGAUGUUUUAUCAUUCCCUGAUGAGUACCUGUUUGAGCGUUUCCGUUUCUCUGCAUCAUCAAUAAUUCAUAUAAACAAUAUUCUCAGCCCUCACAUCGCUCACAUGACACAUCGUGGACACACUCUCAGUUCCGAGCAAAUUCUUUGUAUUGCACUUCGUUUUUUUGCCAACGGCAGUUUUUUGUAUAACGUCGGUGAUGCAGAGCAUGUGUCCAAGGCAACUGUCUGUCGGGCUGUCCAAAAUGUGACACUUGCACUGAAACGGCUACUAUGCACGUUUGUAGUGUUCCCAAGACACAGACCCACCAGAUUUCUCAAGAAGAGUUCCACAGAAAUGCAGGUAUCAGUCUAAGCAGUAAUUCAUUCAUUUCAUUUGAGACUUGAAGCACUAAUCAGUCAAUUUGAUAUAUUUUAGGGUUUCCAGGUGUGAUUGGCUGCAUUGAUGGCACUCACAUUCCUAUCAUAGCUCCUUCAAUAAAUGAAGGACAUUAUGUGAAUAGGAGAUCUGUCCACAGCAUUAAUGUACAGGUAGGCCUAAAUAGUAGCCUUUAACAUUCCAAAUUAAAUAUACUUCACUAUACAGCUAAUUACUGUUCUCCACUGUGAAGAUCAUAUGUGAUGGAGCCCACAUGAUUAAUAAUGUGGAAGCGAAGUUGCCUGGGUCUGUGCAUGACUCACGAAUGUUUUGUGAGUCUACACUGAGUGCCAGAUUUGCCCAUGGAGAGUUUGAUGGUUACCUACUCGGAGACAGAGGGUACCCAUGCCAGCGCUAUCUGCUGACCCCUUACCCUGACCCUGAGCCUGGCCCACAGCAACACUACAACUUGGCUCACUGCAGGACACGAGCCAGAGUGGAGAUGACCAUCGGGAUACUCAAGGCCCGGUUCCAGUGCCUUCGUAGGCUCAGGGUCACCCCAGAAAGAGCUUGUGACAUUAUAGUGGCAUGUGUGGUUCUCCACAACAUUGCCACUAUUAGAGGAGAACAAUGUCCUACUCUUUCCCCCAAUGAUCCAGAUAUUAAUCCUACCCCCCCUGCUGAUGCACGUGAUGGAAGAGCUGUUAGAGACAUGAUAUGCUUCAAUCAUUUCUAACUGACCCAUCACCUCCCCAAUGUUAAAGAAAGACAAUAUGCAUCUCAUUUUAUGAGGUCUUCUUUAUUUCCUAGAAGGACAAAUUUUGUACAGUUGUUAAUCCUUUGUUGUUGAAACAAUUAAAAAUCAUCCACCUGUGGGCACGUCACCCACCUUUAA